AGAGAGAGAGAGAGAGAACAAGAGAGAGGUUAGUCGGAAAACGAUACACAGGUAAACAGGACAGGAAAAUCUGAUUUGCAGUAGCAAUCAGCUAUAACAUUAUGACCACCUGCCUAAUAUUGUGUAGGGCCCCUCCUCGCCGCCUCAUACACAACAAACUGCAAUGCACUGACAUCUUUCUAUCAGAACCAGCAUGAACUUUUUCAGCAACCUGAGCUACAGUAGGUCAUCUCUUCGAUCAGUUUAUCACUUCUUCCUUUCUUCUCUGACAGCUCACCCUCAUCAGGGUCGCAGGGGAGGUAUACCCUGGACAAGUCUAGACACAUAUAGACGAACAAACAUUCACGUUCACACCUACGGGCAAUUUAGAGUCACCAAUUAACCUAUUAAGUGCACGUGUUUGGACUGUGGGAGGAGGCCAGAGAACCCACGCAAACACAGGGACCCCCCCAGAAAGGACCCAGGGUUUGAACCAGGAACCUAACAACCUGCUAACUACUGCACCACAUGCCACCCUAACACAUCCACUAAAUGUUCACUUGCUGCCUAAUACAUCCCAAUAUAUUCAACUUUCAAUACCAAAUUGUCCUAGUUUCAUCACAAUUCUAAUAAUUAUUAUUCUAAUAUUAUUCUUGGUUCCCUGUCAUGCCAAAGUAAAAGCCUUUUGUACAAAAGCUCCAGGAGGCUUGCUCUUUUGUGAAACUACUGAGCAAUAAAAAUGGAAAGAAAAUGCAAAUCAAAAGGUUUGCAAGGAAAGUAUACUAAGCACUAAAAUAAUGACUCCCAUCCUGAUGAAAACACACAUGGUGUGUGCAUAAGUGCAUACAUGUACAGGUGCAUGAACAUGUGGUAUACUUUAAGGGUCCCAGUUUGGGGAGUUUAAAAAAUAUGGUCACCCCAAUUCAGCAGCUUAAGAGCCAGAUAUUUUCCUCAGACGAUGGUGGAUGCCACACUACCUGUGCUUAAAUUUGUCAGAGGGCCAGUAACUCUUAAACAAAUGCCAAUAUUUCUCAGUGUCUGCAACACUACAAGAGUACUAGACACUGAAGCUAGCUAGCUCUAAGUAAGUUAGAAGUUAAAAGUUUUAUUUUUUGUAUCAGUACACUUCUGCAUACAUUAUUAUAUGUACACUGCAGCUAUUUGUCACAAGCAAAAAAACAGAAGCGGUGUACAAAAUUUGUGUUUAAAGUUUGGUUGUAGCCAGUUUAGCUCAUAAGCUAAACCAACGCACUGUUGCCAUGGUUACCAACAUUUAACAUGCUUAGAAAGUCAGGUAGCAUUGAAGCUACAUUUGAGUCACAAGAUUUUACACCUGCCAGCCAGCCAAUCCAAACGUGUCAUGAAGUAGCGUCUAUGCUCUGUGAUACAGCACGUGUGUAAAUGAUCACAUAGCUCAGAGUGAGAAUGAACUGUGAAACUUUGGCAUUAACUUUAUGAAUACAUUAAAUUGAAAUGGCUAGUCUUUAGCCCACGGUCGGCAUUCAUUCGGUGUAGCAUAACGACCUUUCACUGAAGUUCAAUAAAUCUCCUCAAUUUUCAGCCCUGCUUUCCCGGUCAUGAAUUGCAAAUGAAGCCGGCUUUAACUCUAUUCUAUCAGAGGGUCAAAUUAACCAGCUACAUUAUCCAUUUGUCUAAUAGGAACGCCGCUGACAAAAAGAGGGGGAGCAUUUUGUUUGAUGCUUUUUCCAUUAGCAGUCAUUAGAUCAAAUGAGAUGAAAACAUCGCCCAGUGGCACCCUUAAAAAUGCAGCAUAUGCAGACACACACACACACAUUCACACACUUCCAUAAACCACAAUGAGAAUUCUAUCUACUUCAAUUAGAGGCGUCCAUGAUGGAAAUCCUCAAUUGGAUAAUUUAUAAGCCAACUAAGUUGCAGUGACACCGGGGUUGUGAUAACUAAUGAACAGAGCGGAGGGGGUUAGUCGGCCUGUGGAGGUGGUGGAGAC